GAUGAACGCUAGCGACAGGCUUAACACAUGCAAGUCGAGGGGCAGCAUAAAAGUAGCAAUACUUUGGUGGCGACCGGCGCACGGGUGAGUAACGCGUAUGCAACCUACCUAUCAGAGGGGGAUAACCCGGCGAAAGUCGGACUAAUACCGCAUAAAACAGGGGCACCGCAUGGUGCUAUUUGUUAAAAAUUUAUUGCUGAUAGAUGGGCAUGCGUUCCAUUAGGUAGUUGGAGAGGUAACGGCUCACCAAGCCUACGAUGGAUAGGGGAACUGAGAGGUUGGUCCCCCACACUGGUACUGAGACACGGACCAGACUCCUACGGGAGGCAGCAGUGAGGAAUAUUGGUCAAUGGGCGAGAGCCUGAACCAGCCAAGUCGCGUGAAGGAAGAAGGAUCUAUGGUUCGUAAACUUCUUUUGCAGGGGAAUAAAGUGCAGGACGUGUCCUGUUUUGUAUGUACCCUGAGAAUAAGGAUCGGCUAACUCCGUGCCAGCAGCCGCGGUAAAACG
rnacentral:rRNA from 1 species